AGUGUGUUUCGACACACUAUCAUUAACUGAAUCCAUAGGUUAAUGAGGCGAACCGGGGGAACUGAAACAUCUAAGUACCCCGAGGAAAAGAAAUCAACCGAGAUUCCCCCAGUAGCGGCGAGCGAACGGGGAGGAGCCCAGAGCCUGAAUCAGUGUGUGUGUUAGUGGAAGCGUCUGGAAAGGCGCGCGAUACAGGGUGACAGCCCCGUACACAAAAAUGCACAUACUGUGAGCUCGAUGAGUAGGGCGGGACACGUGGUAUCCUGUCUGAAUAUGGGGGGACCAUCCUCCAAGGCUAAAUACUCCUGACUGACCGAUAGUGAACCAGUACCGUGAGGGAAAGGCGAAAAGAACCCCGGCGAGGGGAGUGAAAAAGAACCUGAAACCGUGUACGU
rnacentral:rRNA from 1 species